rnacentral:rRNA from 1 species
GACGAACGCUGGCGGCGUGCUUAACACAUGCAAGUCGAACGGAAAGGCCCUGCUUUUGUGGGGUGCUCGAGUGGCGAACGGGUGAGUAACACGUGAGUAACCUGCCCUUGACUUUGGGAUAACUUCAGGAAACUGGGGCUCAUACCGGAUAGGAGCUCCUGCUGCAUGGUGGGGGUUGGAAAGUUUCGGCGGUUGGGGAUGGACUCGCGGCUUAUCAGCUUGUUGGUGGGGUAGUGGCUUACCAAGGCUUUGACGGGUAGCCGGCCUGAGAGGGUGACCGGCCACAUUGGGACUGAGAGACGGCCCAGACUCCUACGGGAGGCAGCAGCGGGGAAUAUUGCACAAUGGGCGGAAGCCUGAUGCAGCAACGCCGCGUGCGGGAUGACGGCCUUCGGGUUGUAAACCGCUUUCGCCUGUGACGAAGCGUGAGUGACGGUAAUGGGUAAAGAAGCACCAGCUAACUACGUG